UCAGCGGGGAACGCAAGCGGCACCCCGUCUUGUUUAGUCCCACCUCGCCUAGCGAGGGAGCGUUCGACCGGCUUAAAUAGCCAGCUCCACCUUCCAACUCGCCGAGCUCAGUCACGCGAGCUUGUAACCCGAGUGGGGGCUUUGAGGUGGUGUGAACGCUGGUGCAGCGCUGUGGGCCUUGUUUGGGCUGUGCUACUGCUGGCCCGUCCGUUCCAAGUUGAGUAGUGGACUGCUGCGGCCUGUGCGAAAGCUGGGCCUCACGGGCCAUAAUGUGGCAGGCACAGCGUUAGGCUGGCCUCACAGAGCAGCGACAACUGCCCGCUUCCAACGGUGGAAGGAUAACGGGCCGCUGCACACCUGGGCCGCUUGGGCCUCACAGCCUGCUCCAGCGAACCACCAUUUUU
rnacentral:sRNA from 1 species